GAUGAACGCUGGCGGCGUGCCUAAUACAUGCAAGUCGAGCGAACUGAUUAGAAGCUUGCUUCUAUGACGUUAGCGGCGGACGGGUGAGUAACACGUGGGCAACCUGCCUGUAAGACUGGGAUAACUUCGGGAAACCGAAGCUAAUACCGGAUAGGAUCUUCUCCCUCAGGGGAGAUGAUUGAAAGAUGGUUUCGGCUGUCACUGACAGACGGGCCCGCGGUGCAUUAGCUAGUUGGUGAGGUAACGGCUCACCAAGGCAACGAUGCAAAGCCGACCUGAGAGGGUGAUCGGCCACACUGGGACUGAGACACGGCCCAGACUCCUACGGGAGGAAGCAGUAGGGAAUCUUCCGCAAUGGACGAAAGUCUGACGGAGCAACGCCGCGUGAGUGAUGAAGGCUUUCGGGUCGUAAAACUCUGUUGUUAGGGAAGAACAAGUGCGAGAGUAACUGCUCGUACCUUGACGGUACCUAACCAGAAAGCCACGGCUAACUACGUGCCAGCAGCCGCCGUAAUAC
rnacentral:rRNA from 1 species